GCCGAGCUGGGUAACACCAGCUUGUGACCCAGGUGGGGGCACCAAGGUGAUUGAACAAGGCUUUAGCACCAUGUUGGCCUGGAGGUUGCAUCUGCUGGCUUGCCCACUCCAAGUUGAGAGUUGAGCCAAGGGAACAUUGCGAAGGCAUUGGUCUCCUGGUUCCUAGACGAGAGGGCAAUGCGUGAGGCUGGCUUCACAGAGCAGCGACUACCUCUGGCUCUUGACAGUGGAGGGAUCACAGGCUGCUGCAUCUCCAGGCACCUAAGCUUGGUGAGCUAUCCCUUGAACAAUCACUUUU
rnacentral:SRP_RNA from 1 species